AUGGUUCUCAAGAGAGAGCUCUGCCAUUUCAGUGGUGCCAAGAUACACCCGGGGAAUAGUAUCGGAUUCAUCCGUUCGAACUCGCAAGACUUCCUUUUGUCCAACACAAAAUGCAAGCGCUAUUUCCACAACCAUCCUAAUCCUGCUAAGCUUGCAUGGACGACCAUGUACUGGAAGCAGCAUAAGAACUUACUUGGUUCUGCACUAAACAGAAGGAAAUACGAUGAACCAUAUAUUUUAAUUUUCAAGGAAAUAGACCAUACGCCCAUAAAAAGAGUUAGAUCACAAUGUUUUGAGGCUCGGUCAUGGCGUCUGCAAGGAGGUGGCGGAUGGGGUUCGGUGACCGGACAAGGGCAAGGUUAG
rnacentral:rRNA from 1 species